AGAUUGGGUGUCAACAAUACUAGAACUGCUCUCCAAGAAGCCAAGAAAGAACUAGAAUAGUGGCAGAGAAACAACAAUAGAAUGUCAACACAGAAGAGACAAAGAAAAUGUGACAACUGAGUUUUAGACGGUUUCUCUGUAUAGCUCUGGCUGUCCUGUAACUCGCUUUGUAGACCACGCUGGCCUUAAACUCAGAGAUCCACCUGCCUCUGCCUUUGAAGUGAUGGGAUUUUUGAAGUGAUGGGAUUAAAGGCCUGUGCCACAUCACACUUGUGGCAGUCAUAGGAGUCUGUUCACUUGUUCACUGUGGGAUCCAGAGAUUGAAUUCAAAUUGUCGAGCUUUCAUGGCAAGCACUUUUACAUAAAUAUACACACAUACUGUAAUAACAACAAAAAGAAACAUUAAAUCUGUAAGA